rnacentral:rRNA from 3 species
UACGGAGGGUGCAAGCGUUGUCCGGAUUUAUUGGGUUUAAAGGGUGCGUAGGUGGCUUGUUAAGUCCGGGGUGAAAGCCCACAGCUCAACUGUGGAACUGCCCUGGAUACUGGCGAGCUUGAGUCCAGACGAGGUUGGCGGAAUGGAUGCUGUAGCGGUGAAAUGCAUAGAUAGCAUCCAGAACCCCGAUUGCGUAGGCAGCUGACUAGGCUGGUACUGACACUGAGGCACGAAAGCGUGGGGAGCGAACAGG